GGGCCAGUGGCGUAAUGGAUAACGCGUCUGACUUCUACAAUCGGAAGAUUGUAGGUUCGAGUCCUACCUGGCUCG